UACGUAGGUGGCAAGCGUUGUCCGGAAUUAUUGGGCGUAAAGGCGCGCGCGAGGCGGUUCUUAAGUCUGAUGUGAAAGCCCACAGGCUUAACCGUGGAAGGUCAUUGGAAACUGGGAGACUUGAGUGCAGAAGAGAAGAGCGGAAUUCCACGUGUAGCGGUGAAAUGCGUAGAGAUGUGGAGGAACACAGUGGCGAAGGCGGCUCUUUGGUCUGUAACUGACGCUGAGGCGACGAAAGGCGUGGGGAUCAAACAGG
rnacentral:rRNA from 1 species